GACGAACGCUGGCGGCGUGCUUAACACAUGCAAGUCGAACGGAAAGGCCCUGCUUUUGUGGGGUGCUCGAGUGGCGAACGGGUGAGUAACACGUGAGUAACCUGCCCUUGACUUUGGGAUAACUUCAGGAAACUGGGGCUAAUACCGGAUAGGAGCUCCUGCUGCAUGGUGGGGGUUGGAAAGUUUCGGCGGUUGGGGAUGGACUCGCGGCUUAUCAGCUUGUUGGUGGGGUAGUGGCUUACCAAGGCUUUGACGGGUAGCCGGCCUGAGAGGGUGACCGGCCACAUUGGGACUGAGAUACGGCCCAGACUCCUACGGGAGGCAGCAGUGGGGAAUAUUGCACAAUGGGCGGAAGCCUGAUGAAGCAACGCCGCGUGCGGGAUGCCGGCCUUCGGGUUGUAAACCGCUUUCGCCUGUGACGAAGCGUGAGUGACGGUAAUGGGUAAAGAAGCACCGGCUAACUACGUG
rnacentral:rRNA from 1 species